rnacentral:rRNA from 1 species
GUCUACGGCCAUGCCACCCUGAACAAGCCCAAUCUCGUCUGAUCUCGGAAGCUAAGCAGGGUAGGGCCUGGUUAUUACUUGGAAGUACUAGGAAGACCAGGUGCUGUAGGUG